rnacentral:lncRNA from 1 species
CUCACGGGCGUCAGCGAGCAUCUGCGUUGCCAAGGCGCUAAAAUGGAAAUAGGUUCCAUUUGUGAUGCUAAACGCGCUGCAAGUCCAGCCUCUCCCAUCUCCUCAUUGGUUUAUAGGAGCGUGGGUGAUUGAAAGAUGAACUUGGGUCCACACUCCGUCGGUUCUAUACUCUGGUCGGUUCUAGUAAAGCUGUAAAGUUGGCUGCAAACCGCCAUAUGAAGUCCAAAGAAGAAAAAGAAAGCUGGAGGAAGGAGGAGAGAUGACGAGAAACGAAUUGGGUUUACAGUUUUCUCUGUGGAUUAAUUGUCGGAGACCUCAGGAAUCCUGAAGCCAUAAGGACACCCAAAGCAGUACCAGUGAAAUGCAAUACAGCCGUCGUCAGGAUCCCCAUUUCUGUACCAGUGAACAGGAAUCCUGCAGCCAUAAGGAUGCCCAUAGUAGUAAUGGUGAACAGGAAUCCUGCAGCCAUAAGGAUGCCCAUAGUAGUAAUGGUGAACAGGAAUCCUGCAGCCAUAAGGCUGCCCAUAGUAGUAAUGGUGAACAGGAAUCCUGCAGCCGUAAGGAUGCCCAUAGUAGUAAUGGUGAACAGGAAUCCUCUCAGCGGUUUUCAAUCUACAGGUCACACUUUAAGAAAGGGUUUUGUAUGGGUUUAAACUGAGCACUUCACUUCUUACCCGUUAGAAAAUGUCAACAUUAGUCAAUGAACAAUGGCCGCAGUGUGAAUAAUGUCUGUCCAGACGUUAUCAGGUUCCCUAUAGCAGUACCAGUGAAUAGGAAUUCUGUCAUUAGCUCUCUGUCAGGGUGAUAAUUGGUGAGGUCAGCUGCAGUUGACAUGUGCUUGUCCUGCUAAAUGCUAUCAAACAGAUCUGAACAGCCCAGAGGGAGAAGAGGAGCGGAGAGGGGCUCCUGGCUAGCUGGCCGGGAACGCUUGCUGAAUCAGUAACUGUCUCGUCCACACUUUCCAAUCUACCUCUAGACUGUAAGGAGUAGAUACAGUUUAGCUGUAGCUAGAUACCUGUGUUUCACACAUGUACUGUAGUUGAUACAUACUGCUACAUAACAGUUUGUGUAAAACAUUCUCAUUUGAGUUGGAGGAAUGUGACAUAUAUAGUAUAGUAUUUGGUUACACUCUGGAUGUGUGUUAUGUCACAUACGUAUAGAAAUAGGAAACCCGAGGCUCGUCCUUAUGGGAUAUUGGGCAUGUAAGAGACGUUAUGAUGGCAGCUUUGAAUGGUUAUUUUCCUCUUUCCUCCUCUGUCUAUAUUGUUCUAAGGCCGCCUCAGCCCAUCUGGAUUCCCCUGCGGCAGAACUAACAGAUGUAGCAAGCAGGAAGUCUAUCUCAACCAGAGAAAAGCUGCGUUGUGCAUGUUUUUACUCUGAAAAUCACGCAGCUACUUGAUGAGUCAUCAAGCAAACAGUGCUUUUGUAGGGAAUUUUAUUUGCAUGCUGUAUGUAAAUAUUUGUCCCGGAUAAAUACUAAUUUCCCCUUGCAAAACAAUGUAAUGAGAUUAAUUUAACACGGUUUUGCAAUUCCUUUGUGAAUUAUGUUAUCUUGGUUCUAGGCCAUGUAGCAAGGCAAUAUAUAUUAAUCUAGUUAAUGAUUUUCCUACAAUCCUUUGCGUUAUAGGGAAAUUAAUAAGCCAUACAUAAAAUACUAAUAUGACUCUAACAUAGCUAUAAUAUUUAUGCGUAAAUAGUGGAAUCUAUAUGUUGCCUAUAGGUCUGUAUUGUUGUGGGGGAUCCACCUUAGAAGGUCACCAAAAUGUCUCCACAUAUACUGUAUGUGUACUUGUAUCUGUACGGUACUCAUUUGUCAGUUUGUAUUUGCGUGCCUUGAGUUAUUUAAACUAAAUUGGUGUGAGUUAUUUAAACAAAAUAAUAUUAAAGACAUACUCCGGUACUUUGGAGAAAGAAGAAAGUAUUUUUUAACCUCCCGCUUUGGGCUGGAUGUGUCAAUGUGUUGUUCAUACACACACAAUCUUUGAGCAGAACUACUGUCUUACCUCAGUUAAUCUUUGAGCAGAACUACUGUUUUACCUCAGUUAAUCUUUGAGCAGAACUACUGUCUUACCUCAGUUAAUCUUUGAGCAGAACUACUGUUUUACCUCAGGUAAUCUUUGAGCAGAACUACUGUCUUACCUCAGUUAAUCUUUGAGCAGAACUACUGUUUGACCUCAGAUUACCUUUGAGCAGAACUACUGUUUUACCUCAGAUAAUCUUUGAGCAGAACUACUGUUUGACCUCAGAUAAUCUUUGAGCAGAACUACUGUUUUACCUUAGUUAAUCUUUGAGCAGAACUACUGUCUUAUCUCAGUUAGCCAGGAAAUCCUAGUUUGAAAGUGACUGUUUUCUUGAAGCUGUGCUGCUCCAUUUUCCCUCCAUUUCCCUUACGUGGGUCAGCCUCCUAGCAAUUUGAGUUUAGCCAAUGAGCUUCAGCUCCACGCAUUUGAGUGACAGCUAGCAAGAAGCCUGCCCCAGUGUUAUCCAAUGAGGUUGCAGGGCGGGCACAACGGCUCAGUGGGCACAGCAUAGAGAGAGAGAGGGAAAGGGAAAACCUGGUCAGUUGCACAGCUGAAUGCAUUCAACCGAAAUGUGUCUUCCGCAUUUAACCCAACCCCUCUGAAUCAGAGGUGCGGGGGGCUGCCUUAAUCGAUGUCCAUGUCAUCAGUGCAGAGGGGAGAAUUUGUUGCUGUUCGGGGUUAAAUGCUUUGCUCAAGGGCAGAAUGGCAGAUUUUUCCACCUUGCAGGCUCUGCAAUUCAAACCAGCGACCUUUCGUAUUAGGAGACCAGUUUUGGCUCGAAAGUGUUACUUUCAGAACUACUGGCUAAAAAGUACACAAAAGUACCAGAGAAUCUCAGCAGGUAUAUCUCACUGGUCACCCCCAAAGCCAAUUCCUCCUUUGGUGGUCUUUCCUUCCAG